UGAGGAAUAUUGGUCAAUGGACGGAAGUCUGAACCAGCCAAGUAGCGUGCAGGAUUGACGGCCCUAUGGGUUGUAAACUGCUUUUGUUGGGGAGUAAAGUGAGGCACGCGUGCCUUUUUGCAUUUACCCUUCGAAUAAGGACCAGCUAAUUCCGUGCCAGCAGCCGCGGUAAUACGGAAGGUCCAGGCGUUAUCCGGAUUUAUUGGGUUUAAAGGGAGUGUAGGCGGUCUGUUAAGCGUGUUGUGAAAUUUAGGUGCUCAACAUCUACCUUGCAGCGCGAACUGGCGGACUUGAGUGCACGCAACGUAUGCGGAAUUCAUGGUGUAGCGGUGAAAUGCUUAGAUAUCAUGACGAACUCCGAUUGCGAAGGCAGCGUACGGGAGUGUUACUGACGCUUAAGCUCGAAGGUGCGGGUAUCGAACAGGAUUAGAUACCCUGGUAGUCCGCACGGUAAACGAUGGAUGCCCGCUGUUAGCGCCUGGCGUUAGCGGCUAAGCGAAAGCAUUAAGCAUCCCACCUGGGGAGUACGCCGGCAACGGUG
rnacentral:rRNA from 1 species